rnacentral:rRNA from 1 species
CCUACGGGGUGCAGCAGUCGAGAAUCAUUCACAAUGGGGGAAACCCUGAUGGUGCGACGCCGCGUGGGGGAAUGAAGGUCUUCGGAUUGUAAACCCCUGUCAUGUGGGAGCAAAUUAAAAAGAUAGUACCACAAGAGGAAGCGACGGCUAACUCUGUGCCAGCAGCCGCGGGAAUACAGAGGUCUCAAGCGUUGUUCGGAAUCACUGGGCGUAAAGCGUGCGUAGGCUGUUUCGUAAGUCGUGUGUGAAAGGCGCGGGCUCAACCCGCGGACGGCACAUGAUACUGCGAGACUAGAGUAAUGGAGGGGGAACCGGAAUUCUCGGUGUAGCAGUGAAAUGCGUAGAUAUCGAGAGGAACACUCGUGGCGAAGGCGGGUUCCUGGACAUUAACUGACGCUGAGGCACGAAGGCCAGGGGAGCGAAAGGGAUUAGAUACCCGGGUAGUC